UUACGGCCACAGCCUGUUGAAACACCGGUUCCCGUACGAUCACCAAAGUUAAGCAACGUCGAGCCUGGUGAAUACCUAGAUGGGUGAACGCUUGCGAAUACCAGCUGCUGUAA